UAUGCCAAAUAUAAAAUCAGGCACAUACUGGAUCAGUAAAUGAAUGUUGUAUAAAUGUUUCUCCAUAUUUUGUGUGAAGCCAGAUAGUAUGGAACACAUAGGGAGAAGAGAACAGAGUUUAUGAUAAUAACAUUUCAGCAAGUAUGGAUGACCUUCAUAAUAAACUCAAUUAGCAACAUCAACAUUAACGAUUAAAUAAUGCUGAGAGAUCUGCAGAAAUGUACUAACAGUGAAGAGUGUGAGAAAGAACAUGGUGGCAUUUGUUUGUUUUCACUCUGGGUUUAACCUCAGGUUUGUUACUUCAGGUUUAAACCUUUAUUAACCACAGUUAAACAAACAGACACAGAGCAACAGCUGUUUUAUCUGAACUUUAGGAGAGAUUCCUGUGGUAGAUGUUGACAAAGCUGGCAGGAACCACAGAGAUAAUGUCAAUAAUGUCAUAAAAAACAAUCAUGAUGACCUGGCAUUUUGUUGACUUUCAUGAAACUGCAUAUGUUGUUGUGUAUAAACCUUGGUGAUUAACACUUAAACAGAGAGCUGUGUCUCCUUCAGAGGCUGCUGCUGUCAAAGUCACACAGAAGACACAUAACGAUGCAGUCAGGAUGCUAACCGGCUAGCGAGUUAGCUGACAAACUGUACAAGACAUUUCACUGUUGCUGUUUUCCACUCAGGAGUUUUGUUGCUACCACAAAAGUAGAAAGCCCCUCUUUCUUUUUGUAUCCUCGUAAAUUUCUUUCUCUGGCAUUUUUUUGAGUACCGGUGUUACACCGUAUUUAGUGCCACAUCAGAUUCACUGUUGGAAGCAAUCUGCAUGCUGGCAGGGAAUGAAAGAGCUCCCUGGUUCAUCCCCGACGCUCCCCAGCCGCCGUCCGGCCGACUCUCUCCAUGGGCCUCCGUCUCCAGCCCUCCCCGGUGGGCUAAGACCUGCUCAAGGUCCCUUCUGUGAUGUGGGCUGCCCAAUAAAAGCCAACGCUAGCUGGAUUCCCAGGCCCAGUUUCCCCCUGAGUCUUUAUCUUUCACAGCGUUGGCUGAGGAUGAGGGCUGCCAGAGAAUUAGGUUUCACUCUGCUCACACAGACUGUCUCGCUCUUUGCCUCCGCUUGGCUGUGGCGAAACCAUGGGUAGAAGGAGCUGAAGCAGCGAGAGGAGUGUGUAUGUGUCUGUAGCUGGGUUUCCAUCCCAGCAGUUUCCAUUGUAAUCAGGAGAGGAAAGAACAGUUUCACAAUAUCUUAAAAUAGUUUUUAAAGGAUAAGUUCAGAUUUUUCCAAGUCUAUCUUAAAACAAUACUCGCUCACAUAAGCUAUUGGCUGCUGUAGUCAUUCUUUCUGUUUAUAAUGGGCAUUAAAUGAUGUGCUCCUAGUGUGACUCCAGUUUAAGUGAUGGUUGACAAAAUCCACAGUCCUCGUUUUGUGUAAAAAUACAACCAAAGUUUAGCCGGAACUAAUAUGAGGCUUCAGCUGUCUGAGUUAAACAAAUAAAGAGGGGAUCUUCCAAAGUAACAGUCUUUUUAUUGUUGAAUUCUCUCUUUGUGUUCAGUGUAGUCAUGCUCGGGCACGACUGCUUCAUAGCCACUAUAGGGAGGAGCGACCAAUAACUCCAGCACAUAUGGCAUAUGAAUAUUGUAUAAAAUAGACUUGAAGUAUCUGAACCUAUCCUUUAACGUUUUAUCAGCUUAAUGUCGGAAAAUAGUGAUGAAAAAAAUGCUUUCUGUAGCAUGGCAACCCUAUUAUCAGACUGACUGUAGAUAUUGGAUGCAAAACAGCAAAAAGUUUAUGUGCGAUGGCAAAGUUUUUUAACAUUUCAUGCCACCAUUUUUAAAAUCUUUCUUUCUACCAUAUGCAUGCAGGGUAGAGAUCAUCAUGCAUCUACUGAGCUCUAAGGAACCAAGACUCAACCUGAGAUUUGAGUUGCAACAAGUCCAAAUUAUACUCAGGACGAAUAGGGUGGAUAGGACCUCAUUUUACUGCUACAGGUCUAGGGUCUGUUUGUCAGUGUGGAUUAGAGUAUAGUGAGAGUAGGUGAAAACAAGACUUUCAAGUUCUUGGAUUGAAGGAAAUAUGAUGCUGAAUUAUAAAUAAAAAGCUACACAGUAGGUAUCUGA